rnacentral:misc_RNA from 1 species
UCGUAACAAGGUUUCCGUAGGUGAACCUGCGGAAGGAUCAUUACCGAGUGAGGGCCCUCUGGGUCCAACCUCCCACCCGUGUCUAUCGUACCUUGUUGCUUCGGCGGGCCCGCCGUUUCGACGGCCGCCGGGGAGGCCUUGCGCCCCCGGGCCCGCGCCCGCCGAAGACCCCAACAUGAACGCUGUUCUGAAAGUAUGCAGUCUGAGUUGAUUAUCGUAAUCAGUUAAAACUUUCAACAACGGAUCUCUUGGUUCCGGCAUCGAUGAAGAACGCAGCGAAAUGCGAUAAGUAAUGUGAAUUGCAGAAUUCAGUGAAUCAUCGAGUCUUUGAACGCACAUUGCGCCCCCUGGUAUUCCGGGGGGCAUGCCUGUCCGAGCGUCAUUGCUGCCCUCAAGCACGGCUUGUGUGUUGGGCCCCCGUCCCCCUCUCCCGGGGGACGGGCCCGAAAGGCAGCGGCGGCACCGCGUCCGGUCCUCGAGCGUAUGGGGCUUUGUCACCUGCUCUGUAGGCCCGGCCGGCGCCAGCCGACACCCAACUUUAUUUUUCUAAGGUUGACCUCGGAUCAGGUAGGGAUACCCGCUGAACUUAAGCAUAUCAAUAAGCGGAGGA